rnacentral:rRNA from 1 species
UACGAAGGGGGCUAGCGUUGUUCGGAAUCACUGGGCGUAAAGGGCGCGUAGGCGGCUUUGUAAGUCGGGGGUGAAAGCCUGUGGCUCAACCACAGAAUUGCCUUCGAUACUGCAUGGCUUGAGACCGGAAGAGGUUAGUGGAACUGCGAGUGUAGAGGUGAAAUCGUAGAUAUUCGCAAGAACACCAGUGGCGAAGGCGGCUGACUGGUCCGGUUCUGACGCUGAGGCGCGAAAGCGUGGGGAGCAAACAGG